GAUGAACGCUGGCGGCGUGCCUAAUACAUGCAAGUCGAGCGAACAGACGAGGAGCUUGCUCCUCUGACGUUAGCGGCGGACGGGUGAGUAACACGUGGAUAACCUACCUAUAAGACUGGGAUAACUUCGGGAAACCGGAGCUAAUACCGGAUAAUAUAUUGAACCGCAUGGUUCGAUAGUGAAAGACGGUUUUGCUGUCACUUAUAGAUGGAUCCGCGCCGCAUUAGCUAGUUGGUAAGGUAACGGCUUACCAAGGCAACGAUGCGUAGCCGACCUGAGAGGGUGAUCGGCCACACUGGAACUGAGACACGGUCCAGACUCCUACGGGAGGCAGCAGUAGGGAAUCUUCCGCAAUGGGCGAAAGCCUGACGGAGCAACGCCGCGUGAGUGAUGAAGGUCUUCGGAUCGUAAAACUCUAUUAUGAGGGAAGAACAAAUGUGUAAGUAACUAUGCACGUCUUGACGGUACCUAAUCAGAAAGCCACGGCUAACUACGUG
rnacentral:rRNA from 1 species